GACGAACGCUGGCGGCGUGCCUAACACAUGCAAGUCGAGCGAGUGAAUCUCCUUCGGGAGUGAAGCUAGCGGCGGACGGGUGAGUAACACGUGGGCAACCUGCCUCAUAGAGGGGAAUAGCCUUUCGAAAGGAAGAUUAAUACCGCAUAAGAUUGUAGCUUCGCAUGAAGUAGCAAUUAAAGGAGCAAUCCGCUAUGAGAUGGGCCCGCGGCACAUUAGCUAGUUGGUGAGGUAACGGCCCACCAAGGCAACGAUGCGUAGCCGACCUAAGAGGGUGAUCGGCCACAUUGGGACUGAGACACGGCCCAGACUCCUACGGGAGGCAGCAGUGGGGAAUAUUGCACAAUGGGGGAAACCCUGAUGCAGCAACGCCGCGUGAGUGAUGACGGCCUUCGGGUUGUAAAGCUCUGUCUUCAGGGACGAUAAUGACGGUACCUGAGGAGGAAGCCACGGCUAACUACGUGCCAGCCGCCGCAGUAA
rnacentral:rRNA from 1 species